CAGAGAUACUAGAGAACUGACUUGGUGUUACAUGUAAACAAUAGGAAAUCAAAAAAGUUUUGGGAUGAGGAAGACAUGAAGAAAGCAAUUCAGUAUCCCAUACACAUAAAAGAUCAGAGACAGAGUCACUUUUGCUCACUAUGACAAUUCUGAGUGCCCAACACAGUGCCUUGCAGAUAGCAGGCAUUUUACAAAUUAAUUUACAGAUGAAUGUUCUGAGAUGAAAAUCUGGCAGACAUCUAAGCUCUUCACCCACCAAGUGUAUUAGAAUUUCUGGGCUUGGGACCCAACAUCUUGACUUUUGACAAGCGUUCCGUGGUGAUUCUCCUGGCCAUCAACGUUUGAGAACCCAAAUGUAUGAGACAAUAACGACCUGCAGUGGAGGCAAAGGAAGAUUCUGAGCCAUCUGCAGAUAUAAUACACAGAGCUGUUUCUGUGGUGACAGCAGACAUAACCCCAACUGGGGCAUGAUGUCAUCAACUUUAGGGUGAACAGAGAAUUGGCCAAGGCUGAAUUCAGUAACACCUCUACUAUCCAGUCAGUCUCCACAGUUAGCUGGCUUUGAAGAAGCAAGCUCCCAGGAAUCAAGGAGCAGCAAGGAAAUGAAUUCAGACACCAAUGGAGGAAGCCUGGAAGCAAAUUCUUUCCCAGUCGAACCUAGGAGGCUCACCUAGACUGCAGCCUGGUGACAGACCCUGAUGAAGAGGAACCAGCUAAGCUGCCCAGACUCCUGACCCACAGAAGCUGUGAAGUCAUAAACGUGUGCACCGUUUUAUGUCAGUAAAAGCACAUGGCGCCCAAAGGCAGUGCUGAGACGGAGCGGUGGAGAAUUCCUGCAAACAACGGCAGAUGAGGACGGACGAGAUCACGUUGUUAAUGUCAACUGUGAAGAGGCAGCAAAAAGGAGGUAACUAUGGCCUGGGUAUUCCCACUUGUCUUCGAUCUCUGGCUCUUUUCUGUCUAUAAAUGAUGUCCCAAUCUAGUGUGGACUCACAGUCAUUAUAUUUUUUUUCUGCUUUUAACUAGAAACUACAUUUUCUUACCCCAUCAACCUCGUGAUCAUAAAACCUUUUAACACCCUAAGUGUUAAAAAAGGGUUUUAGUUGACAUGCAGUCAGACCUUCCAUUUUCACAUCCUAGCCCCUCUUUGAAUCCUUCCCCUGACAGGAGACUCCCUAGCUCUCGGAAUACUGUAUUCUAAUAUUGGAUAGCUCUAUUAUUUGUAAGUUCUCUUACCGAGGAGAAAUCUGUCUUACUUCCAGUUACUUAGCCUGAGCCCUGUCCUCUCAUAAACCAGAAUUAAAAGAAUUACUUAUCCAUACGGGAACUGUUCAAACAUUUAAAAGGAAACUACCAUACCUCCACCAAAUCUUUCCCUUGCAGCCCUGUGGAUCCGUUCGUUUAUAUUGCACAUUCUGGGUGCUUUUCUUCAAUCCCAGCUUCCAAAGCAUAAAAAUCACAUAUUCACAUAGACCUCAUCAUUCACACUAUCUAAAUUCAAGUGAACUCUCAGUGUUGCCAGACAAUGCAGUCAGUCAUCCGCUUUUAUUUCUUUGCUCUGAGGCAGAUACUGUAAAUGUUCUUCAUUCUCUGUGAUAACCUUACAUUGCCACCUCCAACUCCACAGGCCCUCACUUCACUACACACAGAGCCAUGAUCACAAGUCCCAUCACCCUUCUCUGCUCCAACACUGGCUUAUCCUGCCUCCCUCCAUCCCCCCUUUAAAAAGUCUAAUCCUGCCAUCCUUUCUGUGUCUUCUGGAAUUGUUUCCUCAAUUGUAUCCUCUCAAAUAACUGGGAAGGAAGGAGCUAUGAGGGAAUACUAAUGUUUAUCGACCCUG